GUGCUUGCUUCGGCAGCACAUAUACUCAGACUGGAACUAUAUAGAGGAGAUUAGCAUGACCCCUGCGCAAGGAUGACACGCGAAUUCAUGAAGCAUUCCAUAUUUUG